AAAUGGCCGAAAAUCUAAGGUUUCUUGGGGAAGGUUCGUCCGCCCAAGGUAAGCCGGGAGCUAAGGCGAGGCCGAAAGGCGUAGUCGAUGCACAUACGGUUGAAAUUCCGUAGCCGCCGAAAUUGUUAAGCACAGGGACACAUAGAGAUAUCCGAACCCGGGCGUUGGUUGACCCGGGCGCAAGGGACCGAACAUCAGUAGGGAAGUCGGAGAUGCUCUGUGGCGAGAAAAGCUGUGUGUAUUGAUUAGGCGCCCGUACCGCAAACCGACACAGGUAGAUGAGGAGAGAAUCCUAAGGCCAACGGGAGAAGGGUUGUUAAGGAACUCGGCAAAUUGACCCCGUAACUUCGGGAUAAGGGGAGCCUCCUACGGGAGGCCGCAGUGAAUAGGCCCAAGCAACUGUUUACCAAAAACACAGGUCUCUGCUAAAUCGAAAGAUGACGUAUAGGGGCUGACGCCUGCCCGGUGCCGGAAGGUUAAGAGGAGAGCUUAGCGCAAGCGAAGGUUCGAAUUGAAGCCCCGGUAAACGGCGGCCGUAACAAUAACGGUCCUAAGGUAGCGAAAUUCCUUGUCAGGUAAGUUCUGACCCGCACGAAUGGCGUAAUGAUUUGGGCACUGUCUCAACAGCCCGCCCGGCGAAAUUGUAGUACUGGUGAAGAUGCCAGUUACCCGCAACUAGACGGAAAGACCCCAUGGAGCUUUACUGUAGCCUAAUACUGAAGAUCGGUAAUGCAUGUACAGGAUAGGUGGGAGCCAGCGAAACCCGGGCGUCAGCUCGGAUGGAGGCAACCUUGGAAUACCACCCUUGUAUUGCUGGUUUUCUAACCUGCGGCCAUGAAUCUGGUCGGGGGACACUGUUAGGUGGGCAGUUUGACUGGGGCGGUCGCCUCCAAAAGCGUAACGGAGGCGCUCAAAGGUUGGCUCAGCACGGACGGAAAUCGUGCAUAGAGUGCAAACGCAUAAGCCAACUUGACUGCGAGACCGACGGGUCGAGCAGGUACGAAAGUAGGAGUUAGUGAUCCGGUGGUAUGUGAGUGGAAAUGCCAUCGCUCAACGGAUAAAAGCUACCCUGGGGAUAACAGGCUGAUCUCCCCCAAGCGUCCACAGCGACGGGGAGGUUUGGCACCUCGAUGUCGGCUCGUCACAUCCUGGGGCUGUAUUCGGUCCCAAGGGUUCGGCUGUUCGCCGAUUAAAGUGGCACGCGAGCUGGGUUCAGAACGUCGUGAGACAGUUCGGUCCCUAUCUGUUGCGGGCGCAGGAGAUUUGAAGGGAGCUGUCCUUAGUACGAGAGGACCGGGAUGGACAGACCUCUGGUGCACCAGUUGUCGUGCCAACGGCACAGCUGGGUAGCUACGUCUGGACGAGAUAAACGCUGAGAGCAUCUAAGUGUGAAACUCCCCCUAAGAUAAGAUCUCCCAUCCAUUAGGAGUAAGGGACGACAGAGACUAUGUCGUUGAUAGGUCGGAAGUGUAAGUGCAGUAAUGCAUUGAGCUGACCGAUACUAAUAACCCGAGGGCUUGACC
rnacentral:rRNA from 1 species